AGAGUUUGAUCCUGGCUCAGAACGAACGCUAGCGGUGCGUUUCAGGCAUGCAAGUCGAACGGUAACAGGGGAGCUUGCUCCCGCUGACGAGUGGCGCACGGGUGAGUAACGCGUAGGUAAUCUGCCAUAAGGUCUGGGAUAGCUAUACGAAAGUAUGAUUAAUACCGGAUGUGCUCUUCGGAGUAAAGUUUUUCGCCUUAUGAUGGGCCUGCGUUGGAUUAGCUAGUUGGUAGGGUAAUAGCCUACCAAGGCGACGAUCCAUAGCCGGGUUGAGAGACUGGCCGGCCACAUUGGAACUGAGACACGGUCCAGACUCCUACGGGAGGCAGCAGCUAAGAAUCUUCCGCAAUGGGCGAAAGCCUGACGGAGCGACACCGCGUGAACGAUGAAGGCCCUUCGGGUUGUAAAGUUCUUUUAUUUAGGACGAAUGUAUUGUGUAGAUGAUACUGACGGUACUUUAUGAAUAAGGUCCGAGGGACCGAGCGUUGUUCGGAAUUAUUGGGUGUAAAGGGUACGUAGGCGGCUUGAUAAGUCAGAUGUGAAAUCCUCGGGCUCAACCUGAGGCUUGCGUCUGAUACUGUUUUGCUAGAGUUAUGGAGAGGAAGUCGGAAUUUCUGGUGUAGGGGUGAAAUCUAUAGAUAUCAGAAAGAACAUCGGUAGCGAAGGCUGACUUCUGGACAUUAACUGACGCUGAGGUACGAAAGUUAGGGUAGCAAACAGGAUUAGAGACCCUGGUAGUCCUAACUGUAAACGUUGUAUACUAGGUGGUGGUAUAUUGAUCAUAUCACUGCCGCAGCUAACGCAUUAAGUAUACCACCUGGGGAGUAUGCCGGCAACGGUGAAACUCAAAGGAAUUGACGGGGGCCCGCACAAGCAGUGGAGCAUGUUGUUUAAUUCGAGGAUACGCGAGGAACCUUACCAGGUCUUGACAUAUAUCUGAAUUGCGUAGAGAUACGUAAGUCUUCGGACAGAUAUACAGGUGCUGCAUGGUUGUCGUCAGCUCGUGCCGUGAGGUGUUGGGUUAAGUCCCGCAACGAGCGCAACCCUUAUCCUUUGUUGCUAACACUUCGGACAAACGUGCUACAAUGGGCGGCACAGAGAGUCGCAAUACCGCGAGGGUGAGCUAAUCUCAAAAAACCGUCCUCAGUUCGGAUUGGAGUCUGCAACCCGACUCCAUGAAGCUGGAAUUGCUAGUAAUCGCAUAUCAGCCAUGAUGCGGUGAAUACGUUCCCGGGCCUUGUACACACCGCCCGUCACAUCACCCGAAUUGAUUAUACCCAACGCGGCCGAGCUAACCCUCACGGGAGGCAGGUCUCUAAGGUGUGGUUGGUAAGGGGGAUGAAGUCGUAACAAGGUAGUCGUACCGGAAGGUGCGGCUG
rnacentral:rRNA from 1 species